AAAACAUGAUAAUCUAUACGUGAUAUGUCUGAAACACAAGUUUAAAUCGGAGAUUUGGCAAGAAAAAACUCGCUAUCAGUCUUAUCACUUUUAAGGUAAUCUAGUCUUUUGCUUUUUACGAAACGUAGAUAGAAUUAAUAUUAUGUACUAACCAACUUCUAGCCAUUGUGUUUUAAGCUCACAAAUGCAAUUUUUUUCCUACUUGUAUAAUGAAAAGCUUCUGUUUCUGGGAUGCUUCCCAUGUGUUUGCUAUUCUAUGACGCUCAUGCUAUUUGAUGCUCUGAAAUCCUACAUCAGUGGUGUUAUUAUUAUUUUCUUUUUUCUGGAUAAGUAACAUGGCAACUAAAAAUUGAUUUUGUGGCAUAUUGCAGUAUGUGAUGGGAGCAAUUUGAAGCAGAAUUCAACUCUAAAAUAAGUGCACAAAAAAAAAAAAAAUGACGCCUUCACUGUCUGUCCCCUCUCAAAACCAUUGUUCCCUUAGUAAGUCUAUCUUUCUCCCAUCAACUCUUCUUAGGAGACCCAGAAAUCAUUUAUUAACUAGUAAGAAACCCAUAAAUAUCUCUCUUUCUAUCUAUUGUUCAUCUCCCAAAAUUGUUCGCGAUGCUUCACUUGACAAGCAUGUUGUGAGGCAAAACAAGAUUCGUUUUGUCCAAAAGCUCAAAACGCUACUCCUUUCGAAGCCAAAGCACUACAUUCCAGUCCACAUUCUAUCCAAAUGUCGGUCCUACCUUUCCCUCCCUGAUCAUCGUUCCAUUCGUUCCAUGAUCCAUCGUUAUCCUUCCAUUUUUGAACUCUUUACAAUUCCAACACCACAUCUACCUUUGAAUGCAACAAAGCCAUAUUCUCAACUAUGCGUUCGUCUAACGUCAGCUGCAGCAGCACUUGCUGAUCAAGAAUUUAAACUCCAUUCCGCAAUUUCCAACAACUUGGCUGCCAAACUUCAGACACUUCUCAUGCUCUCUUCUCAUCGCCGGUUGCUCUUAUCAAAGUUGGUCCAUCUUGCACCAGAUCUUGGCCUCCCCCCUAAUUUUCGGUCCCGCCUCUGCAAUGACCACCCAGACAAAUUCAAGACUGUUGACACCUCCUAUGGCCGUGCACUUGAGCUUGUAUCAUGGGAUGCGCAGUUGGCUGUUCCUUUAUCCUGCCCUGAUGUUUCACUUAGUUUGAUAGUAGAUAGACCUUUAAAAUUUAAGCAUUUGAGACUUCGAAAGGGGCUUAAUCUGAAGAGACGUCACCAAGAUUUCCUGAUCAAGUUUGAAGAAUUGCCUGAUGUGUGUCCUUACAACACUUCUUCAGAAGAAUUCGUUAAAGAGUCCAUUGAGGCAGAAAAAAGAGCUUGUGCAGUGAUAAGAGAAGUGCUGGGAAUGACAGUUGAAAAGAGAACUUUAAUAGACCAUUUGACACAUUUCAGGAAGGAAUUUGGAUUUCCUAACAAGUUGAGGGGAUUGAUUGUAAGGCACCCAGAGUUGUUUUAUGUGAGUUUGAAAGGCCUCAGGGAUUCUGUGUUCUUGACUGAAGGCUACGAUGACAAGGGUGGGCUUUUGAAGAAAGAUGAAACUUCAGCGCUAAAGGAUCAGUUGAUGGAGUUGGUCAGGGAGUCGAAGAAGAUGAGAAGAGAGAUGAGAAAUGGUACUAUGAUGAACAGCAGUGAUAUCAGAGAUUCUGAUGAUGCUAGCAGUGAUGAAUUUGAUGACAUUGGAGAUUAUUACAAUGAUGGUUUUGAGAAUGUGUUUGCCUCUGAAGAUUCAGGUUUUAAUUAUGAUUUUAAUAACGAUGUUCAUGAAAGCUGUGACCUUGGGGAUUACAGGGAAAAAGGAGAAUUUUGGAUGGCAGAUACUCACAUUAGUGGUGCCAAUGAGGAAGGACGAUUUAGGGAACCUUGGUAGCAAAAGAAAACACUGUACAUAUCUUCCAACAUUAGUUGGCACUAGUUUUUGUGUGUUAUAAAGUUAGUAUGCUUCUGUACCAAUUUAUUUUAUCUUGGGGUAUGUGUAUGUGUAUGUAUAUAAUCAAUUCUUGCCCCAUCCUGCCUCUAUUUCCCCUGCGCCAUCCUUCACUUUACCGCCUGGUUGCAAGGAAUAUAUAUACAAAUAUAUAUAUAAAGAGGCUUCAAAGAAAAAUGAACUUCGAAGGGCAAUUUUUGGAAGUUCAAUUUUGAUUGAGC
rnacentral:misc_RNA from 1 species